rnacentral:rRNA from 1 species
ACUCCUACGGGGAGGGCACAGUGGGGAAUAUUGCACAAUGGGCGCAAGCCUGAUGCAGCCAUGCCGCGUGUGUGAAGAAGGGCCUUCGGGUUGUAAAAGCACUUUCAGUCGUGAGGAAGGUGGUGUAGUUAAUAGCUGCAUUUAUUUGACGUUAGCGACAGAAAGAAGCACCGGGCUAACUCCGUGCCAGCAGCCGCGGUAAUACGGAGGGUGCGAGCGUUAAUCGGAAUUACUGGGCGUAAAGCGCAUGCAGGUGGUUUGUUAAGUCAGAUGUGAAAG